rnacentral:rRNA from 1 species
GACGAACGCUGGCGGCGUGCUUAACACAUGCAAGUCGAGCGGUAAGGCCCUUCGGGGUACACGAGCGGCGAACGGGUGAGUAACACGUGGGUAACCUGCCCUCAGCUCUGGGAUAAGCCCGGGAAACUGGGUCUAAUACCGGAUAUCACCUUGGGAGGCAUCUUCCGGGGUUGAAAGUUUUUGGCGGCUGAGGAUGGGCCCGCGGCCUAUCAGCUUGUUGGUGGGGUAGUGGCCUACCAAGGCGACGACGGGAGCCGGCCUGAGAGGGCGACCGGCCACACUGGGACUGAGACACGGCCCAGACUCCUACGGGAGGCAGCAGUGGGGAAUAUUGCACAAUGGGCGAAAGCCUGAUGCAGCGACGCCGCGUGAGGGAUGACGGCC